rnacentral:rRNA from 1 species
AACGAACGCUGGCGGCAGGCUUAACACAUGCAAGUCGAGCGCCCCGCAAGGGGAGCGGCAGACGGGUGAGUAACGCGUGGGAACCUACCCUUUUCUACGGAAUAACGCAUGGAAACGUGUGCUAAUACCGUAUACGCCCUGAGGGGGAAAGAUUUAUCGGAGAAGGAUGGGCCCGCGUUGGAUUAGCUAGUUGGUGGGGUAAAGGCCUACCAAGGCGACGAUCCAUAGCUGGUCUGAGAGGAUGAUCAGCCACAUUGGGACUGAGACACGGCCCAAACUCCUACGGGAGGCAGCAGUGGGGAAUAUGGGACAAUGGGCGCAAGCCUGAUCCAGCCAUGCCGCGUGAGUGAUGAAGGCCCUAGGGUUGUAAAGCUCUUUCACCGGAGAAGAUAAUGACGGUAGUCGGAGAAGAAGCCCCGGCUAACUUCGUGCCAGCAGCCGCCGUAACAC